rnacentral:rRNA from 1 species
AUACGGAGGGAACAAGCGUUAUUCGGAAUCACUGGGCGUAAAGGACGCGUAGGCGGGUUUGUAAGUCAGGUGAGAAAUCCUACAGCUCAACUGUAGAACUGCACUUGAAACUACAGACCUAGAGUAUGGAAGGGGCAGAUGGAAUUAGUGGUGUAGGAGUAAAAUCCGUAGAUAUCACUAGGAAUACCGAAAGCGAAGGCGAUCUGCUGGGACAUUACUGACGCUGAGGCGUGAAAGCGUGGGGAGCAAACAGGAUUAGAAACCCGGGUAGUCC